CUGCUGAAAUUUCCCCAUUCAACUUAUUUUUGUCUUCUCACUUGGCAAUGGAAAAAAUCCUCAGUGACUUUCAACAUGUAUGUAACUGCUGAUAUAUCAGGCCCUUCAAGGCAAAGUUCAGCGAUUAUAAAUCUUACUUGAAAGCAGUUUCAAGAGAAAGAUUCACAUUUGCUAUCUCUGGCUUGAAAAUUGCAAAUUAGCUACCUUCCCUCACCUG
rnacentral:lncRNA from 1 species